CAUGAUACCAAUUUUUCCUCAUUCUUGUUAACAGAUUCUACUGUAUUACUCACUUUGCAUCAAGAUAGGAAGAAUGGUUCUCCCUACGUGUUGCAUGUGAUCUAGUCGAGGAGUACUGUGGACAGGAUGACUUCCUCUAGAUGCAAGAGCAGACGCAGUUGAGGAUUCCAUGUUCAUCUGGCUGAGUGGAGUCAACCAGCAUGUUAGAGGAGCUGAAACUUUCUUGGUUACUGUCAAGUGGGAAAAUUCUCAGUGCUAAAAUAAUUUCCAGGUCCAAUCAAAACAAGCUUCCCCUCAAAAAACUGUCGAAAAUCUCAACAUGCAAUAGAUGUGUUAUGGACUUAUAAAAAUGGAGCCUGAUACUCCCCAGAGUCCUUUCCUGAUGAGGCUUCUGGAGGCACAGGAUUCCCUGAGAUGGAUUUUCCCAGAGGGAAUCUGGAGAAAGGUUUCAAGACAGAUUUUCCUUUGUGAGUGAAUGCCCUGGCAGAGGUGGGGGAGUGAACAGGCAGAUCCACCCAGGAUUUCAGAGCUCUGGGCGUUAGGCUACCUUAUCUCAGCUGGGCUGACUUCUCGCCAACAUCCUCAGGUAACUCAUUCCAGCUUUACUUGAUCUCCAUCUCAAGACAGUUGUUUUCUUUUACUUAGUUACAUUUU
rnacentral:lncRNA from 1 species